rnacentral:rRNA from 1 species
GACGAACGCUGGCGGCGUGCUUAACACAUGCAAGUCGAACGGAAAGGCCCUGCUUUUGUGGGGUGCUCGAGUGGCGAACGGGUGAGUAACACGUGAGUAACCUGCCCUUGACUUUGGGAUAACUUCAGGAAACUGGGGCUAAUACCGGAUAGGAGCUCCUGCUGCAUGGUGGGGGUUGGAAAGUUUCGGCGGUUGGGGAUGGACUCGCGGCUUAUCAGCUUGUUGGUGGGGUAGUGGCUUACCAAGGCUUGGACGGGUAGCCGGCCUGGGAGGGUGACCGGCCACAUUGGGACUGGGGUACGGCCCAGACGCCUACGGGAGGCAGCGGUGGGGAAUAUUGCACAAUGGGCGGAAGCCGGAUGCAGCAACGCCGCGUGCGGGAUGACGGCCUUCGGGUUGUAAACCGCUUUCGCCUGUGACGAAGCGUGAGUGACGGUAAUGGGUAAAGAAGCACCGGCUAACUACGU